GCUACAAUGCCUUCCUAAAGAAUCCAUGUUGAACUUUUGCAAACUUUGUCACAUUACAUCCUCAAACUUUAGCGUACUUUUGGAGAUUUUAUGUGAUAACCCAACACAAAGUACGACACAAGUCUUCACUAAAAGCAAAAAAAAAAAGGUUCGUAUAAAGAAAAGUUAGUUUUACUUUUCGUCAAUACUCUUAGUGAGCACUUUGUAGGAAUACACUUAGAUUCAGUUUCUUGGGGUUUUUUCUACCAGCUUUCGACAUUUAAAUACCUUUUCAUGCAUGUUUCUCUGCAAAGUGGCUCAAGCUCAAUAAAAUUGGAUAGAGGACAUUUCUAAACAUUAAUUUUCUAUUUUUUCCCAAAUAUUCAUUGAGUCUUACGUCUGAACUUUGGCUUUGCCAUUUUAACACAUGAACAAGCUUUGAUCUGAACUAUUUCCAUCUAUCUUUGUGUCAACGAAGUACCUUGUUAGUUAUAAAUGAAGUCUACAAAUGUAAGUUUGGUACUGUCUGUCUAUUAAGAGUUCUUAUGGCUUUUUUCCAUAAGAGAGAGGUUUUCAUGGUUCUUCCACGCGAGCAAGAUUUUAAGAUUACAUACCAGUGUUUUAGCAUUCAGUUUUAGCAUUUAAAAAUUCCCAGAGCUUUUACUUUUAUAGAAAGAAUUGAGCUAAACAUUUUUGUUUGAAUGGUUUGGUUGCAAUAUUUCUUAUUGAAAGCAAAAAAAAAGUACAGUUAAGGCAAUAGCAGGAUACAAAUGCUGCCCAUAAAUGGUGCCUCAGCUCUCCUCAGGCUCUUAGUCUGCUUCGUUUUAGAGAAGAAAAGAAAAAAAAAAAAGCUCAUAAGCUACGAAUUGACAGAAAGCCUCGAGAAACUUCAAAAGAGAGAACUGAGUCAGGAAUCUAUCAAAGCAAGAGAAAGACCAGAGAGACAGAGAGAAAAUGAAAUCCCCCUCUGAAGCUGGAGAUGGAAAGUAAGAUAAGGGCCUCAACCGCAGCCUGUCACCAGAUGAGCUGUCAGCCGGUCCGGAUGUGACAGGCAGGAAGUUCAGUUCAAAAUUGCUUCGGCUCAAAUUGCUGGCCUUGGCGACAGCAGCAACCUGUCACUCUGUGGAGCUUUUGCAAUUCCGGUGAAUUAGGCUGGGAAAGCUGGAUAACCUAAUCAUGGUAUCCCAUGAUAUGAAACAUCCAAAUGUUUCGUCAAGACCGAGUCAAGUGUUGGUUGGUUCUGAAAUAUAUUUCAUGCAAACAAUAACACAUUAAGUCCUAAAAGUGUCACAGAUCUACACAGUCUGCAUGGCAUGGGUCAGCCGAGGAGGAGGACGUUUUCUAAUUGUGGGAUCAUUUUGAUCUUAUCACAGAAUAAGGUGAAAUAAGGAUUUGCUCCCAGGUCUUGUCUUGCUGUAACCGGAGCUCUUCCACGAUGCUGAGGCUUCAUCGCCUGGCAUGAGGGGGGAUGAACCGGUUAACACUCUGUGAAAAAACCCUGGUGUGUCCAGAAAGCAGGCGAUUGAACUGAACCAGUUCAAGUUUGUCACGAUUGUUAAUUGUGUUUAUUUGUAUUUUAACGCUAAUCACUCUGUGUAAUUACAAGAAAUUAGUAACACUGAUGCACUUUACUUUCUCCUCCGAUGACAACCUGCGGCAGCAGCUGAUGUUUCUAAAUAAAAACAUGCAAAUGAA